UGGGGAAUAUUGCACAAUGGGCGAAAGCCUGAUGCAGCAACGCCGCGUGAGUGAUGAAGGCCUUCGGGUUGUAAAGCUCUGUCUUUUGGGACGAUAAUGACGGUACCAAAGGAGGAAGCCACGGCUAACUACGUGCCAGCAGCCGCGGUAAUACGUAGGUGGCAAGCGUUGUCCGGAUUUACUGGGCGUAAAGGAUGCGUAGGCGGAUUUUUAAGUGAGAUGUGAAAACCCUAAGCUUAACUUGGGGACUGCAUUUCAUACUGGAAAUCUAGAGUGCGGGAGAGGAGAAUGGAAUUCCUAGUGUAGCGGUGAAAUGCGUAGAGAUUAGGAAGAACACCAGUGGCGAAGGCGAUUCUCUGGACCGUAACUGACGCUGAGGCAUGAAAGCGUGGGUAGCAAACAGGAUUAGAUACCCUGGUAGUCCACGCCGUAAACGAUGAGUACUAGGUGUAGGAGGUAUCGACCCCUUCUGUGCCGCGGUUAACACAAUAAGUACUCCGCCUGGGAAGUACGAUCGCAAGAUUAAAACUUAAAGGAAUUGACGGGGUCAUAGCUG
rnacentral:rRNA from 1 species